UCGAGGAUUUUUCGCAAUGGGCGCAAGCCUGACGAAGCGACGCCGUGUGAGUGAUGAAGGCCUUCGGGUUGUAAAGCUCUUUCGCCUGGGAACAAGAAAGGUAUAUGAAUAGUAUGCCGAUUUGAGGGUACCAGGUAAAGAAGCACCGGCUAACUCCGUGCCAGCAGCUGCGGUAAUACGGAGGGUGCAAGCAUUAAUCGGAUUUAUUGGGCGUAAAGGGCGCGUAGGCGGGUUGGUAAGUCAGAUGUGAAAUUCCGAGGCUCAACCUCGGAGCUGCAUUUGAAACUGCCGAUCUUGAGGAGUGGCGGAGAAAACGGAAUUCCACGUGUAGCGGUGAAAUGCGUAGAUAUGUGGAGGAACACCGGUGGCGAAAGCGGUUUUCUAGCUUAAACCUGACGCUGAGGCGCGAGAGCAAGGGGAGCAAACAGGAUUAGAUACCCCUGUAGUCC
rnacentral:rRNA from 1 species